rnacentral:misc_RNA from 1 species
CAGAGAACCAACAAAAAAGAUUUCCAGACUUUCCAGAAUUGUGUGCAAGUUAACCGAGCUGUUGAUGAUCAGAUGAAAGUCGUUUACCGUAAGGCAUAAGGCUGCAAUAAAUCAAAGNAAAAAUCUUCGCGUUAUCGACUGAAUUAUAUCAGGCGAAAACUGAGAAAACAAGAUGGACGCGAAUACAAAUAAUUACAAUAAGCCUACUUCUACAAUCAAUAACCACGAUUCGAGUCCAUACUCAACACAAAGCUGUAAUAAUAUUACAGAGGACAUUGGACAAGUAGCUUCACGGAAUCUGGCUCCACCGAUUGUACCCCCUGAUGGCAAUACUUCUUAUGCCUACCCAACACUCCCUGGCAUCCGUAAUGAAGCAACAGAGGGUAGUGCAGAUGAUGCAAUACCUUCACUAGAUCUUGGCCAACCGAUNUCACCCCCUGAUGGUAAUGCUUCUUCCGCUUACCCACCCCUCCCUGGCAUCUGCAAUAAAACAACAGAGAGUAGUAGACAGGCUGCAAUGACUUCACUGCCUCUUGGUCAACCAAUUGUACCCCCUGAUGGUAAUAAUCCUCCUGCCUACCCACUUCCCUACCCUGGUCAUUCUAACCCAAACCAACCAAUGAAUUUCCAGCAGCUUGCAAUAACCUCNCAGCCUCUUGGUCCCAUCAUGUCACCCACUGAUGGUAGUACCCACCCUGCCUACCCACCACCCUACCCUGGUAGUUCCUACCUUAACCAACCAACGAAUUCCAAGCAGCUUGCAAUAACGUCACAACCUCUUGGUUCGAAUUUACUGAUGCCACCUACUGACGGUGAAACUAUUACUGCCAAUCCACCUGGAGAUCUCUACCCGAAUUACCAGCAGAUGUCUUCNGACCAGUCUUUGAUCACGAAUAACAACGCAGAAGCCAAUGAGAUAGCAGCUUUUAUGAGUAGAGUCAGGUCCAAUACGAUNAAAAAGACUGAGGAUGACGCUGACAUGAGCUGUCUAGAGAAAUGCUUCUAUACCUCCAUANUAGUUUUACUUUUCAUUUCGAUCCCAGCAUGCUUCCCUUGUUGGCUGGGCAUGUUUUUAUGGCAUGUGUAUCAUAAUGAUGACGAGAAAGAUAAUUAAGAUUGUUCUAAUUNAUUAUUAUAUUCUUUGGUCUUGGAGCUCAUUAAGUCAUGGACAUCACGACAUAACGACAUAAGCAGACGCAGAAACAGAAGCGCAGAGAAAGAAGCUGGUUCAUGCCCAUGACAUAAGCACGACUUCAGUUGACACAAAUAUUUUUUUAACAUAAGAAGAUGCAAAAACAUAAAGAAAACGUUUCAUAAUUUUUUAUGCUUCUGCUUGUGUUUAUGUUUUUUGAGAUUCACAAGCAAAACAUUUCCCUUCCUCUGCCUCUGCUUGUGUUGUAGUGUGAACCGUCCCUCAAGACUAAAACUUUCUGAACGUAUUGAAUAUUAUCUAUUCUGUCAACAAAAUGCAGCUUUCUCGCUUGUUAUAUUUAAUUGCCCUAUGGCGUAAUGACGUCACAGUAUGUUUACAUUGUAGGUAGAUAUUCAGAAAGAGUCGAAAUUUGUAUCGAUUAACAUUCUUUCUUCCUAGCCUGAGUUCGUCCAGCGUUUAUAAACCGGAUGUACGCAGGCUAUAUUCUUUCCGAAAGUAGAGCUUUAGUGUAUCGAGUUUUGAUGAACAUCAUGUAUCAAUGAUAGUACAUCUACAUUUUAUUUGAUAUGCAGUCACUCUGAUCCCCUUUGGCGACCAUAAUCCUUAACGUUAAAACAAUAGAAUGUGUGACGUAAUUAUGCGAUAGGGCAAUUGCUGUGUCAUUCUGUAACCCUCUUGUGACUAUAAUCCUUACCUUCAAUCAUGCAAUGUUUUAAUCUGACGUCAUAAUGCAAUGGUCCAAUAAGUUUAGCUUAUUGUUUCCUACCUGUUGAAGUGCUCUAAAAUAUUAUUGAUAAAAGGCAAUAAAACUCGACAAAUUUGAGUCCUAAUAACUAUAAUAGAAUUUUAGAGGCAGAGCAUCUCAAGGAUAAAAGUUAGCUUUAAUCCACUGUUUUUAGUUUUUUCUUUUUAAAUAAUAUAUCCUGAGACAAUAUUUCUUACUAAAAUAAAGUUGAUUUGUAAUUAUUCUUGAUUACUCUGUAAAUAUGUUUAAGUAUAUAAUUAUUUUGAUUGGAUCUAACAAACUAUGUGUGUCAUAACCUAUCCAAGGUAUAUAUAACAAUGAAUAACCAUGCAAGUAAAUCUACAUACAUUGAUGUGGACAGCUACAUUCAGUUGGUUCACGACUAUUUUGGCUGUAGAAUUGAACAGAAUUUUGAAUCGUUUGAAAACAGAAGCAACUUUGUCAAAUUAAGUUGUCAAGGCACAAAGAAGACAAGAAUUGUUUCGACCUAGCUGCACUGACCUACUGGAAAAGACGCCGGACAAAUCCCCUCCGAAUAUAGCAAUCGAAUAUUAUNUUACAAGUCAAAAAAUUAAUCUAAUAAAUAGAAGAUGGAAAAUACAANUAAUCCUUCACCAGUUGAAAAUCAACCCACUUCAAGCAACGAUCCGAGUUCAAACUCAUCUCAAACCUGCAAUGACACAACAGCAGAAAGUGGACUAAUUGAAAUACCUUUAAAGGAUCUUGAUCCACCAACGGGACCCCCUGAUGGUAAUUCAAAUCGGGGUUACACAUCCGACCCUGGUAACUCCAAAGAGACAACAGAGGAGAGUCAACAGGUUGAAAUACCUAUAGAACCUCUUGAUUCACCUUCGGGGUCUGAUGGUAAAUCCUCUACGACGUCCUCACCCCAGCCUGAUAACUGCAAAGACACAACAGAGGAGAGUGGACAGGUUGAAAUACCUANAGAAACUCUUGAUUCAUCUACGGGGUCUGAUGNUAAAUCCUCUACGACGUCCUCANCCCAGCCUGAUAAAUGGAAAGACACAACAGAGGAGAGUGGACAGGUCGAAAUACCUUCAGAACCUCUUGAUUCACCGACGGGACACUCUGAUGGAAGUGCUUCCCCUGCUUACUCAACUCAUCCGGAUAACGAAGCCAUGAAUUCGGAGGAUGUUGUAAUAACUUUAAAACCAACGCAAAGCUAUGAUGACACAACUGAAAGAGAUGCGGAACAGGCUCUUGGUUCACCGACUUGGUUCAACGAAACUGAUGCUCCUACGACUUACAACACAUACCCUCCAUACCCCAUCCAUACUGGAUAUGUCAACGCCAUGGCGUACGAUGUUUUAAAAGAUUGGAAGGAACAAGAAGAAGAAAGAAACCGACAAAACAGAUGUAAAAGAUAUCUCAUCAUUGCUAUAGCCCUUAUUUUAUUCCCACUUUGUAUUCCAUUUUUACUGAUUCUUCUGCCUUUCAAAAUAUGUUGUGGGGAUGAUGAUUAAGCCNUAUUAUUGUAUUGCAGAAAAUUGCACUAAAUCUGCGCUAAAUCUGCACUAAAUCUGCACAAUCCCUUUAUUGGAGUGAUCGCACUUAAACCGUGCAAAUGUGCUAAAUCUAAGUAGUACUAAUUUGUUCUAAAAUUGGACCUGAACAAAAAAUGAUAUUGAAUGCUUCAUUUGUAUCAAUUCAAGUUAAUUUGCGUACCGCAUGUACGAUUUACUAAAUGCAAUUAAAUAGAAAUAUUUAGUUUGUGCAGUUGCAAGGUUUAGGUGCGAUCACUCUAAAAGAAAAAAAUCUACCUUAAUCACCAUUGGUCAUUACUUAGUGCUGCAGUUGAGGAAGCCACGAUAGUCUAAUUAAAGAUGUUUCUCUUUGAGGACCAAAAUCAGAAACGUCACUGAGCAAGCAUCACAGGCAUCCCAAGAUAGGUAUUUGUGUGGUUUUAAGCAAUUUUUUAAAAUAUACAAAUUUCAAAAAAAACAAAAAAAACAAAAAAAAACAUUUAUCUGUGUGUGGAUUUUCUUUAUAUUUCUGUAAAGUUUCAUGUCAUUUGCUUCAAUAUUGAAUGAUUUAUAGAUCAGUGUUAUUCAUAGGACGCUGGAGAUAAAUAUAUUUAUAUAUUUUGAAAAAAUUACUAUAAACCACACUAAUACCUAGAUUGAGAUACCUGUGCAAGAAUCAAUUCGUGGGUACAAAACAAGAUUAAUUGAGAUAUUGUCAAAAGUUUAAAAAGCUCAAAAACUUACUUAUAAACUCUUGCUAUGCUAAAAGUUCAUAUUCAAAUAAAACAAAAAAUGAAGAAUGCACU